rnacentral:rRNA from 1 species
AUGAUGGAGAGUUUGAUCCUGGCUCAGGACGAACGCUGGCGGCGUGCCUAAUACAUGCAAGUCGAGCGAACCCGGGGUGCUUGCACCCUGAGGG